rnacentral:rRNA from 1 species
CAGAACGACGCUGGCGGCAUGCCUAACACAUGCAAGUCGAACGAGACCUUCGGGUCUAGUGGCGCACGGGUGCGUAACGCGUGGGAAUCUGCCCUUGGGUUCGGAAUAACUUCGGGAAAACUGAAGCUAAUACCGGAUGAUGACGUAAGUCCAAAGAUUUAUCGCCCAAGGAUGAGCCCGCGUAGGAUUAGCUAGUUGGUGAGGUAAAGGCUCACCAAGGCGACGAUCCUUAGCUGGUCUGAGAGGAUGAUCAGCCACACUGGGACUGAGACACGGCCCAGACUCCUACGGGAGGCAGCAGUGGGGAAUAUUGGACAAUGGGCGAAAGCCUGAUCCAGCAAUGCCGCGUGAGUGAUGAAGGCCUUAGGGUUGUAAAGCUCUUUACCCGGGAUGAUAAUGACAGUACCGGGAGAAUAAGCUCCGGCUAACUCCGUG